AUUGAACGCUGGCGGCAUGCUUUACACAUGCAAGUCGAACGGCAGCGCGGGCUUCGGCCUGGCGGCGAGUGGCGAACUGGUGAGCAAUGCAUCGGAACCUGCCCAGUAGUGGGGGAUAGCCCGGCGAAAGCCGGAUUAAUACCGCAUCCGACCUGAGGGUGAAAGCGGGGGACCGAAAGGCCUCGCGCUAUUGGAGCGGCCGAUGUCGGAUUAGCUAGUAGGUGGGGUAAAGGCUUAACAAGGCGGCGAUCCGUUGCUGGUCUGAGAGGACGACCAGCCACACUAGCAAUGAGGCAAGACCCAGACUCCUACGGGGCGCAGCAGUGGGGAAUUUUGGACGAUGGAGGCAACCCUAAUCCAACAAUGCCGCGUGCGAAAAGAAGGCCUUCGGGUUGUAAAACGCUUUUGUUCGGGAAGAAAUUCUAUGUGCUAAUACCCCGGGGGGAUGACGGUACCAGAAGAAUAAGCACCGGCUAACUACGUG
rnacentral:rRNA from 1 species